GACGAACGCUGGCGGCGCGCCUAACACAUGCAAGUCGAACGAGCGAGAGAGAGCUUGCUUUCUCGAGCGAGUGGCGAACGGGUGAGUAACGCGUGAGGAACCUGCCUCAAAGAGGGGGACAACAGUUGGAAACGACUGCUAAUACCGCAUAAGCCCACGGCACGGCAUCGGGUAGGGGGAAAAGGAGCAAUCCGCUUUGAGAUGGCCUCGCGUCCGAUUAGCUAGUUGGUGGGGUAACGGCCCACCAAGGCGACGAUCGGUAGCCGGACUGAGAGGGUGAACGGCCACAUUGGGGAUGAGACACGGCCCAGACUCCUACGGGAGGCAGCAGUGGGGAAUAUUGCACAAUGGGGGAAACCCUGAUGCAGCGACGCCGCGUGGAGGAAGAAGGUCUUCGGAUUGUAAACUCCUGUUGUUGGGGAAGAUAAUGACGGUACCCAACAAGGAAGUGACGGCUAACUACGUG
rnacentral:rRNA from 1 species